rnacentral:misc_RNA from 1 species
CCUCCUUAUAACGAAGUUACACUUACAGAGUGUUCACACAAAUAAUUAAUUACGAAGUUUUAAGAGAGCUCUAACCCAUGCGCACAGUAUGUGCUCAUCAGUUAGGGUUUUUAACCCGGACGUGUAAACGUCAUGCUCUUUAACAAUUUGGAAAGCUGAUAAAAUAAGGUAAACAUUAUUGUUUAUUUAAUUUGUUAUUCAACAAUUUAAAAAAUAAUUUUGAUUAUCACUGUAAGAGAAAACUCAAGCGUUAUUUAUGUCAAAACGAACAUGCCUAUACAACAUGUUUCGUUAAUAAAUAUGACACAAGAUGAUGCAAUCGAGAAUGUGAGAACAUUUAAGGUUGUAUGGUUAAGUGAAUAAGCGUAUACGGUGGAUGC